rnacentral:rRNA from 1 species
ACUAACAGGAUUCCCCUAGUAACUGCGAGUGAAGCGGGAAAAGCUCAAAUUUAAAAUCUGGCGGUCCUUGCGGUCGUCCGAGUUGUAAUUUAGAGAAGUGUUAUCCGCGCUGGACCGUAUACAAGUCUCCUGGAAUGGAGCGUCAUAGAGGGUGAGAAUCCCGUCUUUGAUACGGACUACCAGGGCUUUGUGAUGCGCUCUCGAAGAGUCGAGUUGUUUGGGAAUGCAGCUCAAAAUGGGUGGUAAAUUCCAUCUAAAGCUAAAUAUUGGCGAGAGACCGAUAVSGAACAAGUACCGUGAGGGAAAGAUGAAAAGAACUUUGGAAAGAGAGUUAAACAGUACGUGAAAUUGUUGAAAGGGAAACGCUUGAAGUCAGUCGCGUUGGCUGGGGAUCAACCUUGCUCUUUUGCUUGGCGUACUUCCCAGUCGAUGGGUCAGCAUCAGUUUUGACUGUUGGAUAAAGGUCAGGGGAAUGUGGCAUCUUCGGAUGUGUUAUAGCCCUUGGUCGUAUACAGCAGUUGGGACUGAGGAACUCAGCACGCCGCAAGGCCGGGUACUUGUACCACGUACGUGCUUAGGAUGCUGGCAUAAUGGCUUUAAUCGACCCGUCUUGAAACACGGACCAAGGAGUCUAACAUGCCUGCGAGUGUUUGGGUGGAAAACCCGAGCGCGUAAUGAAAGUGAAAGUUGAGAUCUCUGUCAUGGAGAGCAUCGACGCCCAGACCUGAACUUCUGUGACGGCCCUGCGGUAGAGCAUGUAUGUUGGGACCCGAAAGAUGGWGAACUAUGCCUGA